rnacentral:rRNA from 1 species
UUACAAUGCGGGAAACCUUGAUAAGGGAACUCCGAGUGCCCGUUACAUCGGGCUGUCCAUCUGUGUAAAUAACAGGUGCAGAAAGGGCCGGGCAAGACCGGUGCCAGCCGCCGCGGUAAUACCGGCGGCUCGAGUGGUGGCCACUAUUACUGGGCUUAAAGCGUUCGUAGCUGGUUUGUUAAGUCUCUGGGGAAAUCUUCCGGCUUAACCGGAAGGCGUCUCAGGGAUACUGGCAGACUAGGGACCGGAAGAGGUGAGGGGUACUCCAGGGGUAGGAGUGAAACCCUGUAAUCCUUGGGGGACCACCUGUGGCGAAGGCGCCUCACGAGGACGGCUCCGACAGUGAGGGACGAAAGCUGGGGGAGCAAACCGG